rnacentral:rRNA from 1 species
UACGUAGGGUGCAAGCGUUAUCCGGAAUUAUUGGGCGUAAAGAGCUCGUAGGCGGUUUGUCGCGUCUGCCGUGAAAGUCCGGGGCUCAACUCCGGAUCUGCGGUGGGUACGGGCAGACUAGAGUGAUGUAGGGGAGACUGGAAUUCCUGGUGUAGCGGUGAAAUGCGCAGAUAUCAGGAGGAACACCGAUGGCGAAGGCAGGUCUCUGGGCAUUAACUGACGCUGAGGAGCGAAAGCAUGGGGAGCGGACAGG